GACGAACGCUGGCGGCGUGCCUAAUACAUGCAAGUCGAGCGGACCAAAAGAGAGCUUGCUCUCUUGAGGUUAGCGGCGGACGGGUGAGUAACACGUGGGCAACCUGCCCGUAAGACUGGGAUAACUCCGGGAAACCGGGGCUAAUACCGGAUAAUACAAGGGACCGCAUGGUUCCUUGUUGAAAGGCGGCUUUGGCUGUCACUUACGGAUGGGCCCGCGGCGCAUUAGCUAGUUGGUGAGGUAACGGCUCACCAAGGCGACGAUGCGUAGCCGACCUGAGGGGGUGAUCGGCCACACUGGGACUGAGACACGGCCCAGACUCCUACGGGAGGCAGCAGUAGGGAAUCUUCCGCAAUGGACGAAAGUCUGACGGAGCAACGCCGCGUGAGCGAAGAAGGUCUUCGGAUCGUAAAGCUCUGUUGUUAGGGAAGAACAAGUACCGUUCGAAUAGGGCGGUACCUUGACGGUACCUAACCAGAAAGCCACGGCUAACUACGUGCCAGCCGCCGCCGUAAAAC
rnacentral:rRNA from 1 species